GCCAGGCGUUGUGGCUCACCCCUGUAAUCCCAGCAGCUUGGGAGGCUGAGGCAGGAGGAUCUCGAGUUCAAAGCCAGCCUCAGCUACUUAGGAAACCCUAAGCAACUCAGGGAGACCCUGUCUCUA
rnacentral:sRNA from 1 species